rnacentral:rRNA from 1 species
UACGUAGGGACCAAGCGUUGUUCGGAUUUACUGGGCGUAAAGGGCGCGUAGGCGGCAAUUCAAGUCAUCUGUGAAAUCUCCGGGCUUAACUCGGAACGGUCAGGUGAUACUGCUUUGCUAGAGUGCAGAAGGGCAAUCGGAAUUCUUGGUGUAGCGGUGAAAUGCGUAGAUAUCAAGAGGAACACCUGAGGUGAAGACGGGUUGCUGGCUGACACUGACGCU